UACGAAGGGGGCUAGCGUUGUUCGGAUUUACUGGGCGUAAAGCGCACGUAGGCGGCUCGUUAAGUCGGGGGUGAAAUCCUGGAGCUCAACUCCAGAACUGCCUUCGAUACUGGCGAUCUUGAGUCCGGAAGAGGUGAGUGGAAUUCCUGGUGUAGCGGUGAAAUGCGCAGAUAUCAGGAGGAACACCCGUGGCUAAGGCGGCUCUCUAGUACGGUACUGACGCUGAGACGCGAAAGCGUGGGGAGCGAACAGG
rnacentral:rRNA from 1 species